rnacentral:misc_RNA from 1 species
GAUGAAGAACGCAGCGAAAUGCGAUAAGUAAUGUGAAUUGCAGAAUUCAGUGAAUCAUCGAAUCUUUGAACGCACAUUGCGCCUCUUGGUACUCCGAGGGGCAUGCCUGUUCGAGCGUCAUUAUAACCCCUCAAGCUCAGCUUGGUGUUGGGGCCUGCUGCACUGGCAGCCCUUAAAAUCAGUGGCGGCGCCAUCUGGCUCUAAGCGUAGUAAUUCUUCUCGCUAUGGAGUCCUGGUGGAUGCUUGCCAUCAACCCCCAAUUUUUCUAUGGUUGACCUCGGAUCAGGUAGGGAUACCCGCUGAACUUAAGCAUAUCAAUAAGCGGAGGA